CGCGCAGGCGGCCAGGUCAGUCGAAUGUGAAAGCCCCCGGCUCAACUGGGGAGGGUCAUUCGAUACUGCCUGGCUUGAAGAUAGGAGAGGGAAGUGGAAUUUCAGGUGUAGUGGUGAAAUGCGUAGAUAUCUGAAGGAACACCAGUGGCGAAGGCGACUUUCUGGCCUAUUCUUGACGCUGAGGCGCGAAAGCUAGGGGAGCGAACG
rnacentral:rRNA from 1 species